AGAAGAAUUUGCUGUUGCUCCCAUUCACUGCUAAGGAGACAGCCUUAGAAAGGAUGUGGAUGAGUAACUGAGUAAAAUGGCCAGUUUAUCCUUCCCCAAAGCUCAAGUUCUUUCUUCGAUGGAAAAAGGUAGGUAAUUUGAGCAGGCAAGUGCAGAGGCUGGGUUCGAACCCAGGACUGUUUGUUUCCAUUAUCUCAAAAACUCAAGAAUUUAACAAGAAUGGGAAGGGGAAAUAUUUUGCCUUCUUUGGUCUCAUAUUCUAAAUCUGAGCUCAAAUUUAUGAGCAUUGGUAUGAUUCACAGACUGGACAGGGGCCAACAUAGAGCUGCAUCUCGUGUCUUCUCAACAUUGAGCUUAGAGUCAAGUGGAGCUAGAACAAGGGGCUACUGGUUUGAAUACUCAUGAAUUAAAGAAAACCUUCUAGAAGAACAAUGAGAAAUAGCACAUACCAAGUUCCUACUAAGUGCCAGGCACAGUGUUAAAUCCUUAAAUAUCUUAAUCAUCUCAACACUGUGGGGAAGGUAUUCUGUUUCCUGUAACUGCGGAAGCCAGCCAGAGGGCACACCACAUACCCAGCCCCCCUCCCGGACCCCAAGAAAUAGGCUCUUCUGUGGAAUGCCAAGCCAGUGCAUGCCCACACCUGCUCUGUGGCUGCCCAGUGCUGUAGACACAAGCUAAAAUCACCUGUCUGAAGUAUAAUAUGGAGGAAUCACUUGGAGUGUCUCUGGUGGGAAAUGGGGGCGACCAUGGUGCUCUCAAAGCAAACCCUCUAACUUGCAGAAGGGCUGUAAAGACAGAAUUGAUUUUGAAUGGCAGGUUUCCUGAAUCUACUUGUGCUGCUUUGGCUCCUUUGUGCUGCCCCCUCUGUUUCAGCUCCUGUUUAAGUGCAUAGUGUCAAGUACCAGCUUCGGACUUAACUUGUGUUCAAAUCCCAGCUGGGUCCAAAGGAAGAUAAAAGUAGUACCUAUACCUUACUGAAUGUCUACAUUACUGAGAACAUGGGAGCAGAGGACUCUGCACAGCACCUGGCACAUGGGAACUGGCGCUCAGGGAAGGAUAAGCAACUUGCUCAGGUGACCAGCUAACAAGUACUUGAGCCACAAAUCAAACUUUGGUCUUCAGGUUCCAACUCCAAAGAGAGCUGGGUCCUACACUGCAGCUACCAUUCUGUGGCCUGAACAGUCUACCUUAAGAUAAAUAAGAAAUGAACUAA